rnacentral:rRNA from 1 species
UGGCGAACGGGUGAGUAAUAUAUUGGAACGUACCGAGUAAUGGGGGAUAACCAAUCGAAAGAUUGGCUAAUACCGCAUACGCUCUGAGGAGGAAAGCAGGGGACCUUCGGGCCUUGCGUUAUUCGAGCGGCCAAUAUCUGAUUAGCUAGUUGGUGGGGUAAAGGCCUACCAAGGCGACGAUCAGUAGCGGGUCUGAGAGGAUGAUCCGCCACACUGGGACUGAGACACGGCCCAG